rnacentral:tRNA from 1 species
GGAAUUGUGGCUCAGCGGUAGAGUGCUCCCCUAGGACGGGUGGGACCCGGGUUCAAUUCUCAGCACCA